CUAACCCCCACCCCCUAACCCUAACCCGGCAGCUUUACUUCUGGGUUAGGGUUAGGGGGGUGGGGGUUGGAGGUUAGGGUGGGGGUUAGGGUUAACAACCCAAUAACUUAUUGCUAAUAACGGUUAACAAUUACAAUACUAUAUUGUUGAUAACCCUAACAUAGGGGCCCCUAGGAAAUUUAGUGUAUCUAUUCAUUAUGCCAUCUUGCUCGUUGCUCUUACACGCUCCUGUUUUUACUGUAUUUGGACUACCUUCAAACUGCAGAUUCCCCAGGACUCCUAGGUGUAUGGAACAGGUACAGUGAAACUCUCGUCAAAAUAUUCUCUUUUAAAAUGGCUUUUGAAAAACGUACACCCUCUAAUACAUACACCUUGCUGUCUCCCUUCCAGGGGUGGAAAAAGUAUCGGAACCUGGGAACCUAGUUCCCAGAAAUUUUUUUGAGUUGAGAGUUUUGCAGAAAAUUUUCCAGAAAAUAUUUCAACAUUUUGAGAUAAUUCUGUUUACUCAAGUUACAACUAUUCUACUUUAUUUACACUGUACGCGCUAACAUCAGCAGCUUUUAAAUAUUUGACAGAAAUCAAUUCUUUUACCGACUCCUGCCAUCACAAUGAGGUAAAUGGUAAAUAUAUGUUCUGCAAAAUCUCCAAGAAAAUGCAAAUUAAAUAGUAAACAAAUAAAAGUGAUGGAAUAAAUAAGAUGAUAGGACACUUAGUUAAGCGUUAGAUCCUUACUAGUUGGUCAUAACUCAUAACUGUGGUAUAUAACAGACAACUAUUGCAAUGUACGAGCAUACGAAAACCAGCCUAAAGCCUAUUAUUACUAAAGUACAAAUAAUACAAUAAUUAUGCAUUUGUUUUGUUAUUUUUGUAAUUGUAACAUUACAAAUUUUACAGAAAAUUUCUAGCCUUCGACCCAGGUUCCCAGAAAGAAAAAAAAAUGUUCACCCCUGCUCCCGUGGGCAGUUGUCAUUGCACCAUUUAUCCACUGCUGGAGUGGCCCAAGGUGGCACACCUCGACAUGAUCCGGGCUUUACAUUUCCCGUCUGACCCCCAUUAUCUCC